UACAGAGGUCUCAAGCGUUGUUCGGAUUCAUUGGGCGUAAAGGGUGCGUAGGCGGCGCGGUAAGUCGGAUGUGAAAUCUCGGGGCUUAACUCCGAAACUGCAUUCGAUACUGCCGUGCUUGAGGACUGGAGAGGAGACUGGAAUUUACGGUGUAGCGGUGAAAUUCGUAGAUAUUCGCAAGAACACCAGUGGCGAAGGCGGCUCACUGGCCCGAUACUGACGCUGAGGCACGAAAGCGUGGGGAGCAAACAGG
rnacentral:rRNA from 1 species